UAUGGUGGGCGGGAGGAAAGUCCGGGCUCCACAGGGCAGGAUGGUCCUUAACGGGGACCGGGGGCGACCCCAGGGAAAGUGCCACAGAAAGCAAACCGUCCACUUAAAGCUCUAUGAAGGUGGAUAAGGGUGAAAGGGUGAGGUAAGAGCUCACCAGUGCCGGCGGUGACGUCGGUAGCUCGGUAAACCCCAUCCGGAGCAAGGCCAAAUAGGGGAGCGCUUGAGGACGGCCCGUUCGAAGCUCCCGGGUCAGGCUGCUUGAGGCCGUCGGCAACGGCGGCCCUAGAGGAAUGAUCGUCGCCCCGCAGCGGGUAACCGCUACAGGGAACAGAACCCGGCUUACGGUUCUCUCUGACCA
rnacentral:RNase_P_RNA from 1 species